rnacentral:rRNA from 1 species
AAGUCGUAACAAGGUUUCCGUAGUGAACUGCGGAAGGAUCAUUAUCACGCACUUUUCAGUACAAACGUAUUAACUGUGCACUUGACUUGGGAGUCCAACUGAAAGAGAGCUGUCUGACCAUCGAACAGUGGGCAAAAAGGAUAUGAUGGUUACUCAGCGCUCGAGCUUCGCCUUUGGCGAACUGCGGUUGAUUGAUUCCUUGGUCGUUAAACAAAACCGUCCAAGUCUGGGAAGAUAGCCUGGACCUGGUUACCAGGCCACUGUUCAAAACCACUUGGCGGGAAUUCCUAUUAACCCCUUUAAUCUUUAUACUAACUAUCAGCUUUUUCUCUCGAGAAAAGGCCUCGAACUAACUUCGAAUGUGUUCGGACCUGGCGUCCUGAGCCGUUCAAAUACGAAAUUUAAGAACAACUCUUAACAACGGAUAUCUUGGCUCUCGUAACGAUGAAGAACGCAGCGAACUGCGAUACGUAAUGCGAAUUGCAGAAUUCAGUGAAUCAUCAAAUCUUUGAACGCAAAUUGCGCUUUUGGGAUAUGCCCGAAAGCACGCCUCUUUGAGUAUCGAUUACACCUCUCAACUCAGCUUUGCUGAUGAUUGGAGAAUGAGCGUUUCUCUUGUUUGUUUCAAACAAGUCGCUCGAAAUGCAUUUUUGGAGCAGAGAUCGCUGUCUUCGUCAUCAAUACUUCGGUAUUGAUCCGCAGCGACCGCUUCGAAGACCUCAAGCAUGGACAAAACUCCGAUGCUUUCGAUGGGAUUCGAUAGCAAUGGUCGUCUGUUGGUAGAGGCACAGAGAUUGCUCCCACUACUUUCGAAGUUGUAAUUUGAAUUAGAUCUCAAAUGAAGCGAGAGGACCCGCCGAACUUAA